AUUGAACGCUGGCGGCAUGCCUUACACAUGCAAGUCGAACGGCAGCGCGGGAGCAAUCCUGGCGGCGAGUGGCGAACGGGUGAGUAAUACAUCGGAACGUGCCCAAUCGUGGGGGAUACCGCAGCGAAAGCUGUGCUAAUACCGCAUACGAUCUACGGAUGAAAGCAGGGGAUCGCAAGACCUUGCGCGAAUGGAGCGGCCGAUGGCAGAUUAGGUAGUUGGUGAGGUAAAGGCUCACCAAGCCUUCGAUCUGUAGCUGGUCUGAGAGGACGACCAGCCACACUGGGACUGAGACACGGCCCAGACUCCUACGGGAGGCAGCAGUGGGGAAUUUUGGACAAUGGGCGAAAGCCUGAUCCAGCCAUGCCGCGUGCAGGAUGAAGGCCUUCGGGUUGUAAACUGCUUUUGUACGGAACGAAACGGUCUUUUCUAAUAAAGAAGGCUAAUGACGGUACCGUAAGAAUAAGCACCGGCUAACUACGUG
rnacentral:rRNA from 1 species